UACGUGAGCUCCGAGCGUUACCCGGAAUUAUUGGGUGUAAAGGGUCCGUAGGUGGAUUUUUAAGUCAGGUAUGAAAGACCGAGGCUCAACCUCGCGUUUGUGCUUGAAACUGGAAGUCUGGAAUCAGGGAGAGGUAAGCGGAAUUCUAAGUGUAGGGGUGCAAUCCGUAGAUACUUAGAAGAACACCAAAAGCGAAGGCAGCUUACUGGAACUGUAUUGACACUGAGGGACGAAAGCGUGGGGAGCAAAAAGG
rnacentral:rRNA from 1 species